UACGGAGGGUGCGAGCGUUGUCCGGAAUCACUGGGCGUAAAGGGCGCGUAGGCGGCCUGAUAAGUAGGGGGUGAAAUCCUGCGGCUUAACCGCAGGGCUGCCUUCUAAACUGUCAGGCUAGAGCACAGUAGAGGCAGGUGGAAUUCCCGGUGUAGCGGUGGAAUGCGUAGAGAUCGGGAGGAACACCAGAGGCGAAGGCGGCUAGCUGGACAGUGACUGACACUCAACAACGAAAGCGUGGGGAGCAAACAGG
rnacentral:rRNA from 1 species